rnacentral:rRNA from 1 species
UGGGGAAUAUUGCACAAUGGGCGCAAGCCUGAUGCAGCCAUGCCGCGUGUAUGAAGAAGGCCUUCGGGUUGUAAAGUACUUUCAGUCGGGAGGAAGGUGUCAAGGUUAAUAACCUUGGCAAUUGACGUUACCGACAGAAGAAGCACCGGCUAACUCCGUGCCAGCAGCCGCGGUAAUACGGCGGGUGCAAGCGUUAAUCGGAAUUACUGGGCGUAAAGCGCACGCAGGCGGUUGAUUGAGUCAGAUGUGAAGUCCCCGGGCUUAACCCGGGAAUUGCAUCUGAUACUGGUCAGCUAGAGUCGUGUAGAGGGGGGUAGAAUUCCAUGUGUAGCGGUGAAAUGCGUAGAGAUGUGGAGGAAUACCGGUGGCGAAGGCGGCCCCCUGGACAAAGACUGACGCUCAGGUGCGAAAGCGUGGGGAGCAAACAGG